rnacentral:lncRNA from 1 species
AUUCUCGCACUUUCUGUGAGAGCCUAGCUUGGGCAGAAAUAAAAAUGCCACUCUGAAUUUAAAUAAUCUGUCCUUCUGGGAAAGUCUUCGCGGCGACAGGGCUGUUAACAUGGAAAGUAAAAAGUAAACAAUGUAUUUCAGCAAUCAGUGUUCUGAGUGGGCUGCGGGACUCAGACAGCCUGCGGACAACUCCUGGGAGGAAGGGCCCUCUUAUGAUCUGCCAGGCGAGAGGAACAUGGAUUGACAGAACUUCUGCAGGCGCAUGCGGUCGGGAAAAAUCUUAUGGGAGUAAGGAUUGCAAGGACCAAGCUUCAGUGAGGCGGUGCAUGAAGCAGAAGGAAUCGCUUUAUGUGUGGAAGUCUACGGGCAGAACAGAAUGGGACCAGAGAGGAUCGUUUGAAUUGGCCCAUCCAGAGCCGGAAUUGCGUUUCAGCGAUGGAGAAUAAUGCUUAAAUCUCAAGCCUGACCUUGGAGAUAAUGUCACAGCUGAAGUGAGACUUUGAAACCUGCUUGCUCAUAACCUUUUGUCAAUAAGUUGGAGAUGAAAGACUCUCCUUCCCUGUGAUAUCCUCAACUGUCAAAAUCACCUGGCUUAUCAAUGGACCAGCAUGGCUUUCCCCCUAAGAAUUUACUGCGCGCUGCGGACUGGAGCUGCAGGCGGAGCUCACUUGUCUUCAGGACAGUGUGAUGGCGUUACCUGUGGAAGGGACCGAGCAUGUCAUGAAUCGGCGCCUUCAGGCUUCCUCUUCUGGACUCCCUGUAUUCCAAAGAGCACCUUACACAGAUAGCUGAUUGGCUGUCUACCUGGUAAGAGAAAUGGCUGCUUCUGGGAUCAGCAGAGACAAAAGAAAAGGCCGUGAACAGGGAGAGGAGUGGGCAUGGUUAGGGCUUUGAAGGCAGGCUAAUCUCUCUAGGUUUCCUUUAAGUGCUUGUGGGGGCGAGUCACGUGACUAGUAGGCACCUUGCAGUGAAUGUAAAUACCGAUGCACUUUUCAUUUCACCGUGGGAGCGAGUGGCAUGUUUGGUACCCAGUUCAUUAUCUAAAGUUCACGUCCACUAUUGUUCUCCGAGCUUGCUCGGGACAAGGAAAGCGCUGUAAAGGGAAAGGGUUGGGCUAAGCUCUGCUUUACUGAGUGCCUGGGAGCACACUGAACUCUGAUCUGAGAAGAAACCAGUCUCUUUGCCAAGCGGGAUGACCUGACUCCAGUAGCAUCCACGCUGCCAUAUCAAGUUGAGGUUGUCACUGUAAAAGCAAGCAUGGGGAAGUCUGCCUUUUCAUACCAAAAUCAAAGCCCUGGUCUGUCAGCCUGGAAUUGCUGAACAAAGCAAACCCUAAUCAGUAGGUCUAUAUGUAGAUUUAGACAUCUCCAGGAGGCUGAGAACCUAUCGGGCCCAAACUGAUUAUUCUAAUCAAGUGUUUUAAUUAAGCACACUCAAUGCCAACAUCACAGGAAUGAGACCCG